rnacentral:lncRNA from 1 species
CCAGCAGUGACCUUGGGUGAGCAGUCACUUGGCCUACAAUGUUCCUGAGUCACAGACUGUCCUGCACAUCUCCUUCUGACUCAUCAGUGCAGUGUGUUGUGUCCUGGAGGCCUCCUGCAGGGACCGUGCAUCACAAGGAGCCCAGGAAUGUGUGUCAAAUCAACAGUGCCUUGACUUCCUUCCACACUGCUUUGGAACUUGCAGUCGAUCAGAGAGAAAUCCAGCAUGUCUGUCUCUAUGAAAUCGGCGGAGCGGUUUCGGAAACAAACCCCGAGCGCGGGGCUGUGUGUGCUGGCGUCCAUCGAAGUGCUGUACCUGUGGAAAGCCCUUCCCAACUGUUCCUUCCCCAACCUCCAGAGGAUGAGUCAAGCAAAAUAUGAAGUUCUGUGAGGAAGAAGCCUUGAUCUGAAUCCACAGAUGGUCAGUUCUGCUGUUCAGAACAUCUCAGUGAAAUGGCCUGGCAUUGUGGAAGAGUUACUGGCUAGGUAGAGAUCAGCUUCGUUAAUUUAGCCUUUGCGGUCAUAUUUGCAUAUUAAUAAAAUAAUUUUG